UUUAAUGUGAUUUAUUUUUCCUUAGGAAAAACUAGACAAAUGGGCCUCUGCCUCUUAUUUAGACUGCUCUUCCUUGCUGCACUGAAGCUGAUUUUACUCUUGUGUUCUCAAGGGUAAACCUGCAUUGCUCACUGUAAAUUUACAGCUUUUAAGUUAGGAUUAGUACAGUUAAAAUUCUGUGUCCAACAGACUUUGAACAAAUGCAGUCACAGAGGAAACAAGUGAACUGCUGAGGGUCCAAUACUGCAAAGGGAGCCUGUGAGGCUGCUGGCCUCAGUAUCUGUGGGUUGGUUUAGUUGGAGUCCUCUGAUGCCUCACCCCACCCUCCUCCUUUUUUAACGAAGGCCUGCACUGAGUUUGCAGAAUGUGAACUGGAAGUGCAAACGACAGGAAAUCAAUCACUCCAUGUCUCUUCCUUAUUCCUUUGCCAUGUGCUGAAAUUUGCCAUGGAUGAUGGCACGGAGCAAGAUUCCCCAUGGAAGAGAACGCCAAUGCUGGGCACAUUCUGAUUUUUUUCUCUACCCAAACCACGGAGUGUAGAGAAACAGUCCAGAAACACCUGCUGCAUGGGCCUGGCAGGCAAGAGGCAGAGGAACACAGCCCAAGCACCAUGCUUAGUCCAGGCAUCCCCUGAUGAGCGCUGUCAUGGUUUGUAUGCAGGUCUACUGGCAAAACUGGUAGUGAAGUCAAUGCAAUAAUGAAAAUGCUGGUGACUUAAGGACCUCUCUGCAAGACUACUCUGCAGCCAAUUAAGGUUUUGAGGAUAAAUUCCAAAUGCUGCAUUUGGGAUUAGGAACUCUAAAAGGCAGUUUGAUACCUAGGACGCUUUGUUUGAAGUCUUUCUGCUUUUGUGGGAGUUCUGAAUCCUCCUAGAUUGCAUGCCAGUAAGGUCUGGAUUUGAACUCUGGCUUGAGUAACUACACCAUAACCCAAAUUAACUGUACUGUGUUAUCUUCUAACUCUGCAAUUAGCUUGUGUCACCAGCAAAUGAAAUGCAUGAGUAAUUUCUAUACGGAAAUUGCUUGCCACCUCAUUUAUUAACAUUAAAACAGAUGCUGUUUUAUCACUGACUGAUACUGGACAUUAAUCAGUAUUUUGUCAGUCUUUGCAUGCAUAUUAAUAUCACAGCUGGGGGGAAUCUACGAAAGUUCCUCCGUAAAAUAGAAUGUUCUUCCUGCCUAAUAGCCUGCCAGCACAGCAACUGUGUGAGUGCUGGUACCCAAUGUCAGUCAUCUACUGUUUGCCACUUCAGUGCACAUUUUCCCACAGAUGGUAUCCGCCCACAGUGAAAGCUGAAAAUACAGCAGUGUCUGAAAAGAUACAAGGCAGAAGAACAAGGCCAUCCCCUAUCACAUGAUGGUCAACCUCUUCCUUUAAAAAUGAAGAGCCAUUAUAAAUCAACCCACUGAAACUGUGUACUCACAUGCUUUGUAAAAAAUCAUUAUUUUGAAGGGUGACUGAAGCGUCAUUAAUAUGUUGAGUGAUAGCCCAGGUGUUGUGCCAGCACUGUGAGGAUUUCUGCAUAUUUUUUUGCCCAGGAUCCCAUUUCAUUCACCUCUGCACUGCCCCUGUUUUCCAAACCACUUAGAUGGUUUGUUAAGUUAUUAAGAUCACAAGGUGAGAUUCAGAAUAUGGACCAAAGGGCAUGACUGUUUCCAAUACAGUUUACAAGCCUGUGAGCACCCCUUCUAUCGUGAGCCCCAGAAAUAUAACUAGCAACAACUGCUUCUUUGCAUUUAAAGCAAUAGGAAAUGAGGGAGGAAGGCAAGAAAACUAGAUUUAAAAGCUGUACCCAAUGGAAUAAAUUAAAGGAUUUCAAAUGCCAAUUUUCAAGCAAAUUACCACAGAUGGGAAAUGGCCUAGCAGUUAAAUGAGGAUUCUUACAGGAAAAUGAUCUGGCUCCCUGACUGGAGCAAAAAUUACUCAUAUUAGUUAAAAUAAGGCUUAAAAUUAAGCUUUCAGUUUCCAUGAGCUCCAGAAGGUCCAUGAAGAGGUAGGAGGUUAAAGGGGGCUCUCUUCACUGAGUUUUUCUUGUUUAUACACACAAGUAUCAGGUGGUAUCUCUGAAUAUGAGCACCUAGGAAUAUCAGCAAGGAACCAGGCUCUCACUGAUGCAGAUACUUCAGGGACUGGACUGUCAUGGUAGCCCUCAUGGGCCAAAAUGGGCUUGUACAUGUCCUGGCCUGCCCAGACUUGUUUACACCCUGUGGUAAAAAAGGUACAAACACUUAGCUUGUGCCUGCCUUGCAUAAGGCCGAUGCUUAUCCCAAAUUUGGGUAAACAAGCCUAUGGCUUCACCUAAUAUAGUCAAGCUUGGCUAACUGCCGUUCUGAUUGGCUAUUCUGUGUCCAAAGGCCCAUCAGUCUCGGCUACAUUGAUAAAGAGUUGAGCAGGUAACACAGUGUGCUCUGCCAUUGUAUUCAUGCCUGCUGUUGCCUGCUGCUAUUGCUCUCUGUCCCUGGCAGUAUACAGCCUUACUGCCCUAUCGAACAGGCUCUAAAUGCCUCCAUGUGACUGGAGUGCCUCCUGCGUAGCCAGCAUGACAUUGUGCUAUGACUGCACAUUGCAAGACAUCCUGCCUGCACCUGAAAGUCUCCUGCCAAGAUGGGAAGUCUUGGGCAUAACACAGAUCGUCCAGAGGAGCCAGGAGAUAAGGUCAGAGAUUGUCUGCCUCCUUUCCCCAGCACCCAGAAGCCUGGGAAGAAUCAGAAGCCUCAGCAAUAAGACAAUAACAGAAUUCCCUGAAAGCAUUUGGGUACUGUCUGAAGCUGUAGCUAGCCCCACGAGUCAGGAGAUAAUGCUUAAAGCCUCUUGAAGUUCACCAUGGCAUUCUACUAUAAGCAGAAAGGAGCUCCUUGGGCCCAAGCAGUAUAUUGACUGCAAGCGGUAUAUGGCCGCAAGCAUCUUCUCUUCCAGUUCAGUUACUGUUUCUAUUUUUGUUGGUUAUUUCUAGAUCCAGUUAUGAUCUGUAUAAUGUUUCCAUGACCGUGCAAAGAAGCCAUUAUUAUUAAAAUGAGUGGUCAGGAGCAGCGAAAGUUCUGAAUAUUGAAAUUAAUAAACAAUAUUGAUUUUGAAAAAAUAUCAUCUCUCAUUAAUUAACUACCUCUUCAUAACACUGGACUUACUACAAACUGCAUUAAGGCUUGUCUGUGCUCUUCCCACCAAACCUGCUGAGCAGCCACAAAGAAGAGCAGCAGCACUGAAGGGCCUUUAGGAACUGUGGUGCUACAAUCUGAAUGUAGGGAGACAAGGAAAAUGCUUCAUGUCCCAGAUCAGGAUUCAGUCCUGUGCAUACAGCAGGCUGCAAAGGGAGCUCAGAGAGGAAAGUGCUUCCUGUCUCGGGUGCUAAUUUGCUUCACCAAGGGCUAGGCACUGGGGAAAAACAUAGCAAGAUGGCUUUUGUUUCUUGUGACAAAAGACAGGUGCAUGUUCUCUCCAAAAUCUCUGCACUGUGCACAAAAGCUUUCAUCUUAUUCUAGAACAUGCAAGUCAGAUGUAUUUAACAGCAUCAGAGAAGUAUCGAAGCUGAUAACCCUUACUACACCAUAAUUCUGUAGCAAAGUAAAGACAUUUGAUGUUACAUAUGGCUUUGCUUUUAAGUACUAGAAAUGUAUAAUUAUCAGGUUCCAGUUCAGCUAUAAAAAAAAAACAAACCCAAUGUCCAGUGAGAGUAAACAGAAAUGAAUAUAAAAUACAUUGUUGCAAUUAAUAAUGGCAAAUCUUUUAGCCUGUACUCCAGACUCCUUCACUAGACUAUUUUUCCUGCAUGGGUGGGAAGCAAUUUUGUUAAUGACCUUAAGCUAAUAAUUUGUACCAGAAUCAACAGUGUGAUGUUCACGAUACCUUUGAGAAGUCCUUCAUGUUACAGAAGUGAUACUAGUUUAGUUCCACAGCAGUGAUCACCCACAGUCAUUACUUACUUCACUAAUUAAUACCUAAAAAAUAAUGGAUAUCUGCUGAAGUUGUAAAUUUGGUGUUAUUAACUGUGAGCAGAAAUGAGAGUGUUCUUUUGUCUUUUUUAGAUCUUAAUGAUACUUUAGUUGCAUACCUGGAACCACCUUGCACACGCACAAGACAGGUAUUUUAAAUGGUACACUGCGUUUUUUCUAUCUAAAAACUAGGAAACAUGACUUGAAAAUACAGUGUAUUUCUUUCUUUCUGCUAUUUUGUUUUGCUAUCUUAGUUCUUUGAAAGGAAGCACUGUUUAACUUCUUAAUGAGUGGCUGAAGACCAAACUAAGAAGGUUAACUGUAUUUAUGCUGAGAGGUUCCUUUCAAAGCUCUUAAUGGAUCGCUUCUUCCAAGCAUGCUCAUCAGAUUAAGAAUUACCUCUGUGUGCCACUGGAAUACAGCCACUUCUGGAGUAAAGACAGACCAGUCACAGAAACUGAAGAAGUAUGUCUUGGCCAAUCAAAAGGACAAGAGAGCUGAAAUGCUGUGCUGUGUAAGGCACUAAUGUUCAAGAGCUCAGCAGACACCUCCCAGGAAACAGAAACACUCUGGGCUGUACAAUGUUCUGCACCUACCCCCACAGCUACAUAAAUUUUCUCCCCUUACAAAUUCCUUCCUACUCAUGUUUCUUUUCAUCUUCUCUCUCUUUUUCUGUGCUGCCUAUUCAUUUAUUUUCAUCUCCCAUUUUAAUCUUCUUAGUCCUUCAACUAUGCUGUAUGUGCCCUCUAAAGGAGCAGUUCCUGCACAGCAGAGCCUGCAGUUUCUUAAAAGCAACAGAAUCUGUUCAUGAGGAUAAAUUUUGCCAGCAUCCAAGUGCCCUUGAUUCACACUGUGAGUUCAGGGUGCUCGUGACUGAGUCUACUAUAAACUUGUUAUAAUGUCAUUAAUGUCUCAAAUGCCUUGAGAAUAUUUCAGGGGCCAUGACUGAGCCUGGUGCCUGUAGAGAAAAAGAAAAGCUUUCACCACAUGCACAGCUACAGGCCUCUUACUCCUGACGGUUGAUGCAGAACCGGAAAGAGCAGCUUGCCUGAAACUGCACAGCAAGUACCAGGAAAGGAAUAGGACUUGAGCCCUCAUGGCAGAACUGGCCAGACUGAAACAGAAGAGGCAAAGUGGUCCUCCCAGCUGAGUCUUUGGCAGAGUCACUGGCACCAACUUGAAGGUGAAAAGAAAAGCACUUUUAAUAGUAAGAAACUGACCACAUUACACUGUGUUCUAGUAUUGGUGUGAGUCAAUCAAGAACUCACAUGAGUAAUUUGAUCCACUGUAACUGAACAGAGCUCUGCUAGCAAACCAUGUAGAGUAAAACAAGGCAGCAAAGGUGCAGUUGCCAUCACCUAAGAGGAUAACAGCGGUUUUAGCAGUUUCCUCUAACACUAGUUCUACCUUUGUUGUGCAGUCCAGAAAACCAAGUCUGUGCUCUUGAGUCCUCCCUAUCCACAACAGGAGUGAGCUUAGCUCCAAGCUUUGGUAUGUGUGUAUAGUUAUUUGUGAAGCUACAAAAUCUCACCAUGAGUUACUGCGCAAUAAACCUACCUCUUCAUUUGUACCUAA